AGCUCCAAUAGCGUAUAUUUAAGUUGUUGCAGUUAAAAAGCUCGUAGUUGGAUCUUGGGUCGGGGGGAGCGGUCCGCCCCUUGUGGGUGUGCACUGGUCACUCCGGCCUUUCUGCCGGGGACGCGCUCCUGGCCUUCGCUGGUCGGGACGCGGAGUCGGCGAUGUUACUUUGAAAAAAUUAGAGUGCUCAAAGCAAGCCUAUGCUCUGAAUACAUUAGCAUGGAAUAACGUGAUAGGACUCUGGUCCUUUUGUGUUGGUCUUCGGGACCGGAGUAAUGAUUAAUAGGGACAGUUGGGGGCAUUCGUAUUUCAUUGUCAGAGGUGAAAUUCUUGGAUUUAUGAAAGACGAACUUCUGCGAAAGCAUUUGCCAAGGAUGUUUUCA
rnacentral:rRNA from 1 species